rnacentral:rRNA from 1 species
UACGAAGGGGGCUAGCGUUGCUCGGAAUCACUGGGCGUAAAGCGCACGUAGGCGGACUCUUAAGUCGGUGGUGAAAUCCUGGAGCUCAACUCCAGAACUGCCUUCGAUACUGGGGAGUCUCGAGUUCGGGAGAGGUGAGUGGAACUGCGAGUGUAGAGGUGAAAUUCGUAGAUAUUCGCAAGAACACCAGUGGCGAAGGCGGCUC